GGAGGCAGCAGUGGGGAAUAUUGCACAAUGGGCGAAAGCCUGAUGCAGCCAUGCCGCGUGUAUGAAGAAGGCCUUCGGGUUGUAAAGUACUUUCAGUUGUGAGGAAGGGGGUGUCGUUAAUAGCGGCAUCUCUUGACGUUAGCAACAGAAGAAGCACCGGCUAACUCCGUGCCAGCAGCCGCGGUAAUACGGAGGGUGCGAGCGUUAAUCGGAAUUACUGGGCGUAAAGCGCAUGCAGGUGGUUCAUUAAGUCAGAUGUGAAAGCCCGGGGCUCAACCUCGGAACUGCAUUUGAAACUGGUGAACUAGAGUACUGUAGAGGGGGGUAGAAUUUCAGGUGUAGCGGUGAAAUGCGUAGAGAUCUGAAGGAAUACCAGUGGCGAAGGCGGCCCCCUGGACAGAUACUGACACUCAGAUGCGAAAGCGUGGGGAGCAAACAGGAUUAGAUACCCUGGUAGUCCACGCCGUAAACGAUGUCUACUUGGAGGUUGUGGCCUUGAGCCGUGGCUUUCGGAGCUAACGCGUUAAGUAGACCGCCUGGGGAGUACGGUCGCAAGAUUAAAACUCAAAUGAAUUGACGGGGGCCCGCACAAGCGGUGGAGCAUGUGGUUUAAUUCGAUGCAACGCGAAGAACCUUACCUACUCUUGACAUCCAGAGAAGCCAGCGGAG
rnacentral:rRNA from 1 species